UACGUAGGGGGCAAGCGUUGUCCGGAAUCAUUGGGCGUAAAGAGCGUGUAGGUGGCUCGGUAAGUCCGCUGUGAAAGUCCAGGGCUCAACCCUGGAAAGCCGGUGGAAACUGUCGAGCUAGAGUCCGGAAGAGGCGAGUGGAAUUCCUGGUGUAGCGGUGAAAUGCGCAGAUAUCAGGAGGAACACCAAUGGGCGAAGGCAGCUCGCUGGGACGGUACUGACACUGAGACGCGAAAGCGUGGGGAGCAAACAGG
rnacentral:rRNA from 1 species